UAAUUAUUUUCCUCCUUUCUUCAUGUUUCUCUCUCUUUCUAUCUUGAUAAGAAAUUCAAUCAAAAUCUCAUCCCCUAAAGGCCUAAUUUCUCUUGCUAAUUGUCCAAACAUAAGUCUCUUUGUGAUGGAGAGAACUCAUGGUCGCUCAAUUGGUGUUCCAAGCUUGAUCUGCCCACAAGGUUGCAACAAAGCCACCAGCGUCUCUUUUGCCAAUGCCCAAGGAUGUUAAGGAUGAGGGAGACAAGGCUCUCUGUUGGACUCAUGAAUAGAUGCUGCUACAUGCAUUCUCAAAGCCCUAGCAGUUGGUUUUAAGGCCACAAGUUCCCAUCGAAAUCUAUCAAAUCCCUGGUAGCCUCUUCAUCUUUUUCUACCCAUAGUACAUUGUAUCUGAUUGCUAUUCAAUGGAUGUAAAAGCUCAUAGACAAAAAUGGGUUGAUGAUUUAAAUGAAGAUGUUAUUGCAAAAUCACAAAAUUCAGGUUUGAUUUGGAAUAUGGAUGGUACUUCCAAGACUAUGGUGAGAAUGCAACUAUGAUAGGGCUUUGAAAACAACUAUGUUGUUCUCAUGAGACUUGGAUUCUUUGAUGACAUCUCUUCACUUGUAGUGUUUGACAUAUAGGUGGAAAAUUACCUUUUACAUAGUACACUAGUGACUACAUAGACAAUUUGCCCAUGAAUUCCAUGUCCCUAAGGCCACUUCCAGAAUUUGGCUAACCUGGAAGGCCUUAUAAGUUCUUCAAUGGUGAAAACCUUUAUCCUUUUAUUUAUAGCCUCAGCUACACUCGGUUCAAAUACUCAAUGGUAUCUUCUGCUCGCGCACUUCAACUGAAAUUAAGAAGGCUCCAACAUUGCUGUGAUCUCACUUAUGAGGCUUACACUGCCGUCCAUGGAGAACAUGAUUGUGGUUGGAGAUGUAGAGCUCUUUUUACCAGUUCAAAUCAAUAUUGGCUUACCACAACUAGAUGGUUACUUAGAUCGUUUAGGUUAGCUUAAGUUCUUAUUAUUAUUUUUUUCUCUAACUCCAGUAAUAGUUAGGAGUGGUUAUUUGUUCUUGAGUUCCUUAGUUUAAUCCUUUGUUACUGUGAUACAAUAUGAUGGGAUUGAGUUUCUUAGUAAUUAAACAUUAACUUUGAUAUUUACAAUCAAGUAUUUCAGGGUUUUAAUCACAUUUUCAUCCUACUUUCUCCAUUUUCUUGUUUUCAUAUACUAGAGUUGGUAUAUAUGGGAUGGCAGAGCUUAUUGAUUGAGUUCCUUAAUCCAUUUUAUUGUUUUCAUCCUACUCUCUCUCUCUCUCUCUCUCUC